rnacentral:rRNA from 1 species
GACGAACGCUGGCGGCGUGCUUAACACAUGCAAGUGGUGCGACGAACCAGGGCUUGCCCUGGGGCAGAGCCGCGAACGGGUGAGUAACACGUGGGCAACCUGCCCCGAUGACUGGGACAACCCGGGGAAACCCGGGCUAAUACCGGAUGUGCUCCCUCACAUCAGUGAGACGAGUAAAGGAAGCUUCGGCCUCCGCAUCGGGAUGGGCCCGCGGCCCAUUAGCUUGUUGGUGGGGUAAUGGCCUACCAAGGCAACGAUGGGUAGCUGGUCUGAGAGGACGAUCAGCCACACUGGGACUGAGACACGGCCCAGACUCCUACGGGAGGCAGCAGUGGGGAAUCUUGCGCAAUGCGCGAAAGCGUGACGCAGCAACGCCGCGUGGGGGAAGAAGGCCUUCGGGUUGUAAACCCCUUUCAGUUGGGACGAAGGUCGGGCCGUUAAUAGCGGUUCCGGCUGACGGUACCUUCACAAGAAGCUCCGGCUAACUACGUGCCAGCAGCCGCAGUAAAAC